CUUCAUUUCUGACUAAUCAGUGCUAUUGGAAUAUGUGAAACAACAGGGAAGACAUGCUGAUCUGACAGAGAAUUGUAACUUCCAGGAUAUUCCCAUGAUAAGAAGAAAGGAGAAUAAUCUGAUAAUAGAAACAAUUGAAUCAUGUCUGCUACCUUGGAUGGCUGCAUAGGAGAGAUCUGUAAGUAUUGUCUCACAUAAUGCUGUAUUAUUUCACUACAGGCUGAUCUGC
rnacentral:lncRNA from 1 species